rnacentral:rRNA from 1 species
AACGAAUGCUGGCGGCAGGCUUAACACAUGCAAGUCGAGCGCCCCGCAAGGGGAGCGGCAGACGGGUGAGUAACGCGUGGGAAUCUACCCAUCUCUACGGAAUAACGCAUGGAAACGUGUGCUAAUACCGUAUACGUCCUUCGGGAGAAAGAUUUAUCGGAGAUGGAUGAGCCCGCGUUGGAUUAGCUAGUUGGUGGGGUAAAGGCCUACCAAGGCGACGAUCCAUAGCUGGUCUGAGAGGAUGAUCAGCCACACUGGGACUGAGACACGGCCCAGACUCCUACGGGAGGCAGCAGUGGGGAAUAUUGGACAAUGGGCGCAAGCCUGAUCCACCCAUGCCGCGUGAGUGAUGAAGGCCCUAGGGUUGUAAAGCUCUUUCACCGGUGAAGAUAAUGACGGUAACCGGAGAAGAAGCCCCGGCUAACUUCGUGCCAGCCGCCGCCGUAAUAC